GAUGAACGCUGGCGGCGUGCCUAAUACAUGCAAGUCGAGCGAACGGACGAGAAGCUUGCUUCUCUGAUGUUAGCGGCGGACGGGUGAGUAACACGUGGAUAACCUACCUAUAAGACGGGGAUAACUUCGGGAAACCGGAGCUAAUACCGGAUAAUAUUUUGAACCGCAUGGUUCAAAAGAGAAAGACGGUCUUGCUGUCACUUAUAGAUGGAUCCGCGCUGCAUUAGCUAGUUGGUAAGGUAACGGCUUACCAAGGCAACGAUGCAUAGCCGAGCUGAGAGGGUGAUCGGCCACACUGGAACUGAGACACGGUCCAGACUCCUACGGGAGGCAGCAGUAGGGAAUCUUCCGCAAUGGGCGAAAGCCUGACGGAGCAACGCCGCGUGAGUGAUGAAGGUCUUCGGAUCGUAAAACUCUGUUAUUAGGGAAGAACAUAUGUGUAAUUAACUGUGCACAUCUUGACGGUACCUAAUCAGAAAGCCCCGGCUAACUACGUG
rnacentral:rRNA from 1 species